GUCGGACGGUAGCAGGUCCUUCGGGAUGCUGACGAGUGGCGAACGGGUGAGUAAUGUAUCGGAACGUGUCUGGUAGUGGGGGAUAACACAUCGAAAGAUGUGCUAAUACCGCAUACGACCUUAGGGUGAAAGCAGGGGACCUUUCGGGGCCUUGCGCUAUUGGGGUGGCCGAUAUCGGAUUAGCUUGUUGGUGGGGUAAAGGCCUACCAAGGCGAUGAUCCGUAGCUGGUUUGAGAGGACGACCAGCCACACUGGGACUGAGACACGGCCCAGACUCCUACGGGAGGCAGCAGUGGGGAAUUUUGGACAAUGGGGGCAACCCUGAUCCAGCCAUUUCGCGUGUGUGAUGAAGGCCUUCGGGUUGUAAAGCACUUUUGGCGGGGAAGAAACGGCGGGCUCUAAUACAGCUUGCUAAUGACGGUACCCGCAGAAUAAGCACCGGCUAACUACGUGCCAGCAGCCGCGGUAAUACGUAGGGUGCAAGCGUUAAUCGGAAUUACUGGGCGUAAAGGGUGCGCAGGCGGUUUGGCAAGAGAGAUGUGAAAUCCCGGGGCUUAACCUCGGAACUGCAUUUUUAACUGCCAGACUAGAGUGUGUCAGAGGGGGGUGGAAUUCCGCGUGUAGCAGUGAAAUGCGUAGAGAUGCGGAGGAACACC
rnacentral:rRNA from 1 species